GACGAGCCACCCAAACGUUAUUCGGAAUUACUGGGCUUAAAGGGUGCGUAGGCGGGUCUUUAAGUCAGGGGUGAAAUCCUGGAGCUCAACUCCAGAACUGCCUUUGAUACUGAGGAUCUUGAGUUCGGGAGAGGUGAGUGGAACUGCGAGUGUAGAGGUGAAAUUCGUAGAUAUUCGCAAGAACACCAGUGGCGAAGGCGGCUCACUGGCCCGAUACUGACGCUGAGGCACGAAAGCGUGGGGAGCAAACAGG
rnacentral:rRNA from 1 species